rnacentral:misc_RNA from 1 species
GCCUGAAUUGCAAUACUAUAAAUUGCUUUAGUCUCUCACAUUUUUAAAUUUGCAUAUCUUUAAAAUGAAAAGAACCUACUCGUUAAUUAAGCUAAACCUCGGAAAGGUUCUAGUGAUUUUCCCUAAUAAAUACAAUACACAAUUUCAAUCUCAUGCGUGUUCUACCACAACAAAAGGUCAUGGAAAAGUGAAACAAUAAUUUAGAAGAUUACAGAUCAAAACUAGCUAUAA